GGGGGACAACAGUUGGAAACGACUGCUAAUACCGCAUAACGUGCCGGAAGGGCAUCCUUUUGGUACCAAAGAUUUAUCGCUGAAAGAUGGGCUCGCGUCUGAUUAGAUAGUUGGUGAGGUAACGGCCCACCAAGUCGACGAUCAGUAGCCGGACUGAGAGGUUGAUCGGCCACAUUGGGACUGAGACACGGCCCAGACUCCUACGGGAGGCAGCAGUGGGGAAUAUUGGACAAUGGGGGAAACCCUUAUCCAGCGACGCCGCGUGAGGGAAGAAGGUUUUCGGAUUGUAAACCUCUGUCAGUGGGGACGAUAAUGACGGUACCCACGGAGGAAGCCACGGCUAACUACGUGCCAGCAGCCGCGGUAAUACGUAGGUGGCAAGCGUUGUCCGGAAUUACUGGGUGUAAAGGGAGCGUAGGUGGGAUGUCAAGUCAGAAGUGAAAAUUAUGGGCUCAACUCAUAACCUGCUUUUGAAACUGAUAUUCUUGAGUGAAGUAGAGGCAAGCGGAAUUCCUAGUGUAGCGGUGAAAUGCGUAGAUAUUAGGAGGAACACCAGUGGCGAAGGCGGCUUGCUGGGCUUUUACUGACGCUGAGGCUCGAAAGCAUGGGGAGCAAACAGGAUUAGAUACCCUGGUAGUCCACGCUGUAAACGAUGAUUACUAGGUGUGGGGGGGAUUGAACCCUUCCGUGCCGGAGUUAACA
rnacentral:rRNA from 1 species